rnacentral:lncRNA from 1 species
GAACUUUCAUCAGAUUUUCAAAAAUGCCUGUGACACACAAAAAAGGAUAGGAACCACUGACAUAGUAAAUCAUCAACAAGUUUACUGGAAAUUUUUGCUUGCCAGGUAGACUGCCUAAUGAAGCAGAAGGUCAUGAGAAAGUCAUUCUCCUUCUCUGACUUGCGUCUCCCUGGAGAACUACUGCCGGUAGCUACUGGGACCUCCUUCCCUAGGACUGGCACUGAGUGUCCCUGGAUCCAGCCCCGAAUGAGGCUCAAGUCUAGGCAAGGAGCAAGCUCAGGAAAUCACGUAAGAGCCCCAACACGGGGAGACCAGACGUCUGCCUUUGAUGCAGAGAGAGAUAAUAGCUUUCUCUGGUUAUGGCAUGGAGGAGGGACUGGAGGGCAUUGAGACGGGACUGGCCGGGACACUGGCACAAUAGCCCAGGUGACAAAGGACGAAGGACAAAACAAGGAAGACCCUGACACAGGGCGAGUGAUGGACGGACUCUGAGAAUGAAGAAUAGUUGGGACCUGUCUGCUGAUGGACCAGAGGUGAGACAGGAGCCUGCAUUGCUUCUGUGUGUUCACGCCACGUAAGGGAGAGCAUGGGGAUUGCAGAGCCCCCCCUGCACCCCCCCCCAAGCCUGAGCAGUGGUUCAAAGUCAUCAAAUCUCAGUGUUCAUUAAACUUAUUCGGAAUUUCUUCUAUGGCAAUAGAAGGAUGAGUGCACCUGUUCCCUGGAGCUUUUGUAGGGACUGGUGGAUUGGUAUAUAUGAAAGCACCUAGGAUGUGUUAGCACGGGGUUCCCAGGUAAUGUUAAUUUCAUCCAUCCAGCUAUUUAUUCAAAUCCAUGCAAAUUUGGAAGGAAAUAAUUAGUCCCUUCAGGACCGUGUCAAACAUUUCAAAUUCAUUUCGGGUGAAGAGAUGACGGCCGAGGUGUCUCUGUGGGGUCAGCCCACUCCUGGUCACUGGGCUGGGCCACAGUUCAAGGCCCGAAACUUGUUUCUGGCAGCAUCAGGUCCCUUUCUUUCCCUUCCUUUCAUUACCACCCUCCCUCCCCCCGCCCCAGGCAGUCUACUUCUAGGUCUCUAGUGUAGAAAAUGACAGAAAGAAAGUCAAAAAGAAAGAAAGGCAGGAAGACAGGCAGGAAGGAAGGAAGGGAGGAAGCAAAGAAAGGCAGAAGGAAAACGAGCAU